rnacentral:lncRNA from 1 species
GUGCGGGGCAGGCAUCGGAGAGGAGAAAAUUCCAAGCCAGCAGGAAGAGUAUCUGCUGAAUCUGCCAGUUCCUUCACCUGGUUCAAAAGUCCAGGGACAAAACCCUGAGAUGGAAGCCACGCUCAGCCCCAGCCCUUGAUUCUUAUGAUUAACCAUGCAGACCUUUGUCCUCAGGCAUCUUUUCUUAAUAGCAGGAGACCCCAGAUGGCAGACCCGAGACCAGCAGUGUGAGUUCUCUGGCAUGAAGACUGGGCUCGCGGACCCGAGCGGGAUGCAGUUUGAAGUAGAAAGUGACUGCAGGGGGCAGCCUCCCAGAAAGGCUGUGGUGUCCCCCUGCACAGGAUAAAGGGCCCAGCCAUGGGGGGUGAAGGAGCGUCCCUUGAACCCCCUCCGUAGUCUGCGCCAUGUCCGCUGGGCAGGUCACCUUUCCUGGGAGGUAGGAUGAGAAUGAUUUAGAGGAGGACUGUGAUCUUCAAAUAUGCCAUCCCAGUGAAUGUCGCCAUCUCUCAGGGUCUUUAUUUCUCCAUCUAUGAAUGAAGGAUCUGGAAGGGUGAGUUGUUCCAGAAGGAAUAGGGGUGGAAACCCAUGUGCUGUAGAUGCUGGUAGGACGAACCUUCUAAAGCAUGGGAUGGGGGACCUGCCCCCAGAGUCUGCCUGGGUUCUGUCUGAAGCUUUAGGGGACACACAGGUUGGCAGGGAAUUGGGGGAGGCCAAACAUGGCCUUUCUGUCACCUGUACCUCCUUGACUGGUGACAUUGGUUUCAGCACGAGAGGGAUCAGGAUAGAGGGAAGAGAGGAGGGCACCUUUGAGGGAGAGGUGACUUUAUUUGGGAAAUUUUUAUUCUUCACGUCUUCCCAUUCACUCUUGGAUCCUAACUAACUCCAGCCUCCCUGGAGGUUCCAGUCCGUUUCUUGGAGACCUCUAAGCAUCCAAAGCUCGGCUCUUGCCUUUAAGGGGGGAGGUCUUGUGAAGUUUGGCUCCAAACCCUGGCCACUAAAAACGUAAUCCCUCAGCCUCACUUCUUCCAGCUCCUGGAGCAUCUGGUGUGGUGGAGACAUUGGGGCUUCGUAAGUGCCUGGCUGGCUGUGGCUUCUUUUCCUUCUUCUUUGUAACCAGGCCAUGUGGCCUUAGGCAAGUCACUUCUUAUCCUCUUCUACAGAGAAUUUAAUGGCCAGGUGAGAAGCAGGUGUGUCCCGGACAGAUGCUGGUGAGGAUGAAAGGACAUAAGUGUCGUUGUGUGCUAGGCUCUUAGUUGACGUUUCAGUGUGGGAGGGUGCUUUGGAGGAGGGACAGGACCAAGUCCUCCCAACAUUGGGUUCCAGAGCAGGGCCAGCUCUUCUCUCCUGGGAUGUCACCUUUUUCAGGUACAGUGUUCUAUAGACCUCCUCACACCAAAGAAUCAUGUCUCAACCCACCCGCUCUGAUCCUUCUCUUGAUUGGGUCUCUUUCGUGGCCCCAGCUUUCAGUUCCCAAUGGACCAGAUGCUUGGCGAUGGUGGGUUGGGACAUUUUCCAGCAAGCCAAAGCCCUUUCCCCUGACAAACCUUGUGGGAAGUCUUAUCUUUCCCUAACCUGAAAGGAUGAAGCGACUACUAGAAGUGAGCUGCAGCAGCGCUGGGCCUGGGGGCUCCUCAGGGCCCCCUCUGUGCAAUAGUGCCUGCUGAUCGAUCCAUUUAUCCGGUGAUUAUUUACAUAGCAUUUGGGCAUCUGCUAUAAGCCAACUUUAGGGAGAGGCCAUUGUGGUGGACUAGACGGUCAAGGUCCCUGGCCUCAUAUGGCUAAAGUUCUGAUGGACCACAUCCAAGAUGCACAAGUUCUAGAAACAGAGUCAGAUGAACAGGUAUUGGAAUCAGAAUAUGCCUCAGCAAUUGGUGCGUUUUCUCAAGCUGAAUUUUAGAAAUUGGGUAGAAAGAUAAAAAUCCAAUGAAAGGAAAAACACGAUUAGUGGGAACCCAGUGAAGCAGAACCCACAAUUAACAAGAUUUCUCUAUAAUUUGAUGGCUCCUCAGAGAAGAACGCACUCCUGAAAAAGGCUAAUUAUAUAUUUGUUUAUUCAGCCCACAAACAGCAUUUUGACAGCCGUUUUGGGCCGGAAGGGGCCCUCAGAGGUCCUCUCAGUCCACCCUCUGCUGUAUCAGAAAUCUCCAUGGAAUAGAUAAUGCAUUAGAUUAGGUGAAACUAUUGGCGUUAUUGAGCAAAAUUUAAAUAGGAAAACAGACUAAUCCAAACUGGAAAAUUUGAGGCUCUCUCCUAUGUCCAUAAAUGUUGAUCAGAAGGUUAACAUUUAAACAAACAUGGGAGACACAGGCAAAGACAUCAAAGAUGAUGAGUAGAUUUUAAAACACUGAAUUGAUUAACUUUGAGGAAGAAUUUCUAGUCUAUCCCCAGCAGGCCAAGAAAUUGCUGAUACUCCCUCUAAGAUGUAUAAUUUUUAACUUUAGCCAACUGUGUACCCUUGUACCUCAAAACAUUAAAAAUAAAAAAAGUGUCAUUUGUGCCCCCAGGUGUAGAAGAAGUUAAGCUUGAAUUAGUUCCAAACUCACACCCAUAGAAAUGAUUGGCACAUUUGCACAGGGGGCUCAUCCUGCGGGGUGGGGGCACAGAGAUGUGGAUCCUCAUGUAUUCAUUUGGGGCACGUGUGUGUGUGCAGUGACUGGGUAUCUCUGGGUCUCUAAAUUUUUUUUUUCUUUGGCAUUCCUGGACAUUUUUGUGACUGUGUGGUAAGAGGGCCUGUGUUUGGUUAUGAUGGUGGUGCUGCUGGAGGCCCUCCAGAACAUUCUCUGGGGAGGGUGAUGGAAAUCAGGAAAUUUCUACCAGAAGCUGGGUCAGCCUGGCCACAUUCUGGGAGGAUGGAAUGGUUUUUCCUGAAGCCCUUGCAGGGGCCUACCUUCCCGUGUUGCUGGGCAUUUGCGAUUUGGAUGAUGGACCCAACUAUGGGUGAGGCAUCAGACCUUUGGGGGGAACCCGCACCAGAUUUGGCCAAACCGGUGAUUCCAACUGGACCCCAGUGAACCAAAUUCAAAGAAGUCUACUGUCACUGUAACUGUUCGUUUUCCUUUCGUUUUCUUCUCUGGCCUUCUCCAUCUGUGGAGAGGGUGCCUUCACAAAUGGCCUUAGAAUGCCGUUCUGAAGUUUAGCAGAAUGAGACAACCAUCAAAUGAAUAUCAGAGGUAUCUAUUAUCGCAGCUUACCUGAAGAAUGAAAAAACAAAACAAGACUGUAUCACCAAUGUUUACAAGUCCAAGUAGACAUCCAGCCCAUGUAAAAUAUGUAAUUUAUGCAAGGGAUUGCAUCUUUCUUUUGUAACGAAUGCACUAAGCAACCUUGUAUAUAUUUUACAAUGUCUUUACAGAAAAAGAAAGAAUCAUUUACUGUAGUGUUGUAAAAUAAUGCACUUUUCUAAUUUUUUCAUUAAAAUCUCUAUGGCACGU